UUGACGGGCCCCGCACAAGCAGCGGAGCGUGUGGUUUAAUUCGUUGCUACACGAAGAACCUUACCUGGGUUUGACAUAAUGGUGGUAGGGAUCCGAAAGGUGACCGACCCUUCGGGGAGCCAUUACAGGUGUUGCAUGGCUGUCGUCAGCUCGUGUCGUGAGAUGUUCGGUUAAGUCCGCUAACGAGCGCAACCCUCGCUGUGUGUUAUAUGUGUCACACAGGACUGCUGGUAUUAAGCCGGAGGAAGUGGGACGACGUCAAGUCAGCAUGACCUUUAUAUCCAGGGCUACACACACGCUACAAUGGUCAGUACAAUGGGUUGCCAAGCCGCGAGGCGGAGCCAAUCCUAAAAAGCUGGCCUCAGUUCAGAUUGCAGUCUGAAACUCGACUGCAUGAAGUCGGAGUUGCUAGUAAACGCAGGUCAGCUAUACUGCGUUGAAUACGUUCCCGGGGCUU
rnacentral:rRNA from 1 species